rnacentral:sRNA from 1 species
UUAUAUACCCAGCUCUGACUU